rnacentral:lncRNA from 1 species
UCCAUCCGGCAUGAUGAGGGAGUGAAAGAGAGAGAGAGAGGCAGGGGCGCGGCUAUCGUCACCUGAAAUCGAGUGGGAACAUUGGGGAUCUAGGGCUCGGUUCUUCUACAGAGAGGGGUGUGAAGUCUGUGAAGUCGCUGGAGUCUGUGGAGCACUCCGCCGUCGACGCUGCUCCGCCGUCGCCGCUGCUACGAGCGCUAGGAGGUGGUGAAGUCGAUGUGCGCUAGGAGAUAGAUCUGAGACGGACAUGGAGGCGG